UACGAAGGGUGCGAGCGUUACUCGGAAUUACUGGGCGUAAAGCGUGCGUAGGUGGUUUGUUAAGUCUGUUGUGAAAGCCCCGGGCUCAACCUGGGAAUGGCAAUGGAUACUGGCAAGCUAGAGUGCGGUAGAGGGUAGUGGAAUUCCCGGUGUAGCGGUGAAAUGCGUAGAUAUCGGAAGGAACAUCAGUGGCGAAAGCGACUUCCUGGACCAGUACCGACGUUCAGGCACGAAAGCGUGGGGAGCAAACAGG
rnacentral:rRNA from 1 species